UAAUAUUAGAAUUUUGUACUUUGAUAAAACAUGUAUUGAACAAUGUAAUAUUGAUAUAAAAAAAUAUCCACACCAAAAGGGUUUGUUAAAAGGUUUUGUGUGACUAUUGUUCUUCUUCUCCAAAUACGCCGAUGUACUUUUUUUUCUUCUUCAAACCUUCAGAUGUCGAUCAAAAAAGUAUAUCUUCAUUGAGUACUCUCAUAUGUUUGCUUACUGAUCUAUUAAAAACACUGAUUCACAAAAAUAUGUCUUCGUCUUUUUUUUUUUUUUUUUUUUUUUUGAGAUUGUGUGUUUGAUGAUUCUGAGAAUCGAGGUUGGAACAAUAUAUAUAGAGGUAUAGUGAAUUGUCAAAUUGUAUUUUUGGAAUAAUAUCAUAAAUACGAAUCAGUGUUAUGCUAAUAAUCAGUAUAGUGAU
rnacentral:lncRNA from 1 species